rnacentral:sRNA from 1 species
CGCGGGCUGCAGACGGCUGCGAGGCGCUGGGCACAGCACCCAGAAGAAUCCUGUAUUUAAUUGGCUCAUAUGGAAAUUUUUAGAAAGAGAGAGACAGCAGGGCUGAGACUAUCUCCUGCUCAGGAACCAAAACGAGCUGGGAGGUGUCCUGAUGGCAAAUUUCAAGGGCCACGCGCUUCCAGGGAGUUUCUUCCUGAUCAUUGGGCUGUGUUGGUCAGUGAAGUACCCGCUGAAGUACUUUAGCCACACGCGGAAGAACAGCCCGCUACAUUACUAUCAGCGUCUCGAGAUCGUCGAAGCCGCAAUUAGGACUUUGUUUUCCGUCACUGGGAUCCUGGCAGAGCAGUUUGUUCCGGACGGGCCCCACCUGCACCUCUACCAUGAGAACCACUGGAUAAAGUUAAUGAAUUGGCAGCACAGCACCAUGUACCUAUUCUUUGCAGUCUCAGGAAUUGUUGACAUGCUCACCUAUCUGGUCAGCCACGUUCCCUUGGGGGUGGACAGACUGGUUAUGGCUGUGGCAGUAUUCAUGGAAGGUUUCCUCUUCUACUACCACGUCCACAACCGGCCUCCGCUGGACCAGCACAUCCACUCACUCCUGCUGUAUGCUCUGUUCGGAGGGUGUGUUAGUAUCUCCCUAGAGGUGAUCUUCCGGGACCACAUUGUGCUGGAACUUUUCCGAACCAGUCUCAUCAUUCUUCAGGGAACCUGGUUCUGGCAGAUUGGGUUUGUGCUGUUCCCACCUUUUGGAACACCCGAAUGGGACCAGAAGGAUGAUGCCAACCUCAUGUUCAUCACCAUGUGCUUCUGCUGGCACUACCUGGCUGCCCUCAGCAUCGUGGCCAUCAACUAUUCUCUUGUUUACUGGUAUGUCUGAGACUUUAGUGA